AUGACCAAGCAUGGGAAAUUCCCUUCGGUCAUGGAGACGAUCUAUGAAGUGCCACAUCAUAUGGGCCUCCAACAACAAGAUGGCGACAUGACGGUUGAGCUAGGGCCAUCCUCUUCGACAAUGGCGACGAGCAUGAACCUCUUCAACAACAUGAAGAUGGCACCCAUAUUGGACUCAUACUCCGAGUCAAGCUACGAGACCGCACAUGAGACCUUAUCUUUGGUCUUAGAGGAGAGUGAUGAUGUGCCAUCCUCGGCCUUCAUCCAUGGCUACAACUAUGACAUGAUUGAGCAUGGAGACAUUUGCACCAACAUCUCUCUGACCACCAUAGAUGACAUUGAGUGCAUUUCCUAUGAGAGGAUGAGUGUGACCACCACUAGCCCCAUACAUGAGAGCAUGCCACACAUCCUAUGUGAGUUUGAGAGCCAUUUGAGUGACUCCACCAACCAUAUGAGUGAGAGCAUCAUACCGGGAGUGAGUGAGCCACAACACUUAGUGAGGUAG
rnacentral:rRNA from 1 species